GUUACCAUGGUAGCCGGAGCCGCUAGCUGCAGGCUCUAGUGGCUGAGAUCUCAAAAGUAUUUCUGCGAGGGCCCAGGCGCGGCUGCUGCUUCAGAGCCUUGAUUACGAUCUCCGGAGCCCAGCCGCCGCUCUCUGUGGGGAGAGAGGCCACCCAGCCCGGGUCUUACUUUAGGAGCCCUCCCAUGGCUUCCCAGGAGAGUGUGGAGACGGUGACUAAAGGAACAGGGUUCUGGCGCUGUCCCAAGCCGACCACUUACACCCCAGGGACCUGCGAGCUGCUCAGAGUGAUGAUGCAGGAAUCCAAACUGACUAACUUCCAACAGCGCCACAUCAUGGACACCAUUAAACGAGGAGACACUCUCCCCCUGCAGUGCAGCCCAGCUUCCAGCCAGAGGGUCUUGCCUUCCAAGCAGCCAAGCUCAGCCAUCUACCUGCCUCCCAUCCUGGCAGCCCGGUCCCACCUCCGGCCUGCCAGGAGGUGCCAAGCCAAUGGGGCCUACAGCCGGGAGCAGUUCAAGCCUCAAGCCACCCGGGAUCUGGAGAAGGAGAAGCGAAGACUCCAGAAUAUCUUUGCCAACGGGAAGAAGCCAGAGGAACGGAAAAGAAAGCCCCCACCCGUGCGACAGGAGGACCCAGCCCCUGAGCUGGACCGCUUUGAAGAACAGAGGCAACCUGCCGCCCCACCAUCCCUCCCAGGAGCGCGGGGGCCCCUGUUGUCCUGUACACGGACGACCCUCUCCCUGUCCAGUGGUGAAGGAAAUUCAGGAGAGGAAAGAAUUCCUGGCUGACAUGGAGGCCCUGGGGCAGGGCAGACAGUACCGCGGGAUCAUCCUUACUGAAAUCUCCCAGAAACUACAGGAAAUGGAAGACAUUGACCACAAGAGGAGUGAGGAACUUAGGAAAGCUCUUGCCACCACUUAACCUACCACUCACCCCUGCUCCCCACCCCAAGGAGGGCGGGGGAGCCCACCCCCUUGCCAAGCAGGGUCACCCCCACGUCAGCCCACCCACUCUGCCCUUCAGCCAUGGAAAUGGUUGUAUAACACUGCCCCCACCGACGGUACCCUGGACACAGCACCCUAGAAAAUGGACCACAUCUCAGAAAAUGAGCUGAUUCUCCUCCAGACUCUGCCCAGGGAUCUGGGGUCAGCUGAGCCUCUGAGACCAGUCACAGAUCCAGACACCCACACACACACAUACACACACGCACGCACGCACGUGCACACACAGUGAAAGCAAGUCCAGGUCUUAACCACCUUGGGUGUGUGUCUAACGGUGUCCACUGGGGCCUCUUCCCAACGCUUCGCCCACUGUGUGUCCCUGUGUCCUGCACAUUAGGUUUUCUGAACUUAGUAAUGAAUAUGAUUCCUUUCUUCCUACCCGUCUUAGGACCUACUUAUUUGACUUCUUACAGUCUUGGACAAAUAUUUAACCACUAUGAUUAACUGGCUAAUAAAACACAUUUACUGUAGGUCAUUACACACACUAUUUUGUUUUCAGAGGGAUAAGGCUUAUUUGCUCAAGGAGUCAGAAUUUUUCAAGCCCAGUUGGUUUCUAGCUGUUUUUUUCCAGUAAAAAUGGAACCAAGGCUCCAGGAGCCGCC